rnacentral:lncRNA from 1 species
AUAUAUCAUGUGUAGAGAGCUUGUUUCUCUUUUCUUCAGAGACCUACAAAUCUCUCCGGCUGCGAUUUACUUUAUUUCCUUUUUUGUAGCCGGUUAAAUACUAAUUGCUUUAGGGUUCGUUCGUCUCUUUUAUGUUUUCGAUCUAGGUUUAAUCCUUAACAAAGGAAGGAAGUGGUGUUGGGUGUUAAUUGUACUCAGUCCCAAAUCGUUGCACAAAUGCCUCGGCUCGGAAUAAAAAAAGAAUGGUGAUGGAUUCAUACGAUUUGGGACUGAUUCGAUUGAUACAAAAAACCCUCCUUGUCCCGUUGUUGCGUAAUUGGUCCCGUACUGUUCUAUAAGCUUAUGAUUUGGGGUUAAGAGUGUGGUGCAUGAUACUUGGUCCCAUAUUGCCUUGGUUUAAAACCAGAUCAGAUGGAUUAUUAAGGCCUGGCUGGUUAUAAUAUUGCGGUAGUCUUUUUUGUUUUCGAUUUUGGGUUGGUCGUUAACAAAUAAGAUGGGGGUGGUGCUUGUGUUAAUCGAAUUCAGUCCCAAAUCGGUAUACAAAUGCCUCGGCUCGGGAAGAUAAAAGAAUGGUGAUGGAUUCAUACAAUUUGGGACUGAAUCGUUUAAUUCGAAAACCCUCUUUGUCCCGUUGUUGCGUAAUAAUUGGUCCCUAAAUCUCAUUUCAAAUGCCUCGGUUAAUAUUCCAUUCUUAUGAUUGGGGUUAAGAGUGUGGUGCAUAUUACAUGGUCCGUGUCCCAUUCUGUUCUAUAUAUUGUCUUGGUUUAAAACCAGAUCGGUUGAAAAGUAAAGCCUUGGCUCGGCUAUAAAGGAUUUUCUUUUGGUGGUGGUGCAUGCUAUAUGGUCCGGAAUCGUUUAUAACAGAUCCCAAUCUUGAGUCUUCCAUGACAAUUGGUCCCAACUUUUUAUAAAAUCCCAUUCUAGCUUAUCAAAGUGUAAGCUUAUUGUCUGGAAAAUACUGUGGUUCAUGAUAGCUUGGUCCCUGAUUCUCUACUUGAUUGCCUUAAUUAAGAUGGGAAACUUGAGAAUGUGAAAGAGUGUGGUGCAUGAUACUUGGUCCCUGAAUUGUCCAUAUAAAUGCCUCGGCUAAAAACCCAUUAUAAGCUUAUUGUGAAGCCUAUGGUGCAUGAUACUUAUUUUGAGGGAAAAAACACAAGUCUUUGAAGUUUUUAUGAAAACACAAGUCCCUGAACUGUCCAUAUAAAUGCCUCAGCUAAAAACCCAUUAUAAGAUUUGUGUGAAAGAGUGUGGUGCAUGAUACAUGGUAUCUGAUUAAGAGUGUGGUGCAUGAUACUUGGUCCUAGUCCCAUAUUGUUCUUAACAAUUUCCUUGGUUAAAAACCACAGUGAAAGCUAAAUUCUACUAAGGUUGGUUAAUGACAAAGAGUGAGGUGCAUGAUUACUAUACAGGGUCCUGGAUUCCCUUUUCAAAUGCCUUGGUUAAAACUUGAAACCCCAUUGGAAGCUAAUCUUAAUAAGCUUGGGAAUGGGAAGGAGUGUGGUGCAUGAUAUAUACAGAUGCCUCAACUAAAACCCCAUAAUAAGCUGAUCAUAAUAAGCGUAUGAUUUGGACAGAGUGUGGUGCCUGAUAUUUGGUCUUAGUCCCAGAUUGUUCAAAAAUCUCCUUGAUUAAAAACCAGACUGCAAGUUAUUUCAAUAGGCAUACGCUCAUAAAUGGAAAAAGAGUAUGGUGCAUGAUAGGUGCAUGAUAUACCUGCCAAUACAAAUGCCUCUUAAUGCCCCGAUUGAUAUUGCUGCAUAACACUUUGUCGAUACAAAAGUUACGACUCAAUUAAAACAUUCAAUAUAAGUUCAUCAAGAGCUUAUGAAUGGGAAAGUGUAGAUGGUGAUGCAUGAUAUUUGGUCCAAAAAAUAUUAAACAAUUACCUCAGGUCAUCAAGAAAACAAGGACCUAAUGAAUGGGAAAAAGAUGCAUGAUACUCUGUUCCUAGUGUCUAUAAAACAAGGAUUAUCUGUUCAUAAAAUAUUUAAACAAUUGCCUCAACUUAUCAAGAAGACAAGGAUCUAAUGAAUGGGAGCAAUGCAUGAUACUCUGUUCCUAAUGUCUAUAAAAUAUGCCUAUGUUCGGUAAUAUUCUAAUCAGAUGUCUCGGUUUACAAUAACCCAUCAUAAGCUUAUGAUUGGAGGUUAGAGUGUGGUGCAUGAUACUUGUGCCGAGUCCCAUAUUGUUCUAUAUAUUACCUUGGUUAAUAACCAGAUCAGUUUAAAACUAAAGCCUUAGGUCGGUUAUAAACGGAGAGAAAUUUUGGUGGUGGCGCAUGCUAUUUGGUCUGGAAUCGGCUUUACAAAUCUCUCGCUCCAGUCUUCCAUAAUAAUUAAAAAGUAAAAACUCAGUAGAUGAGUGACUGAAACCAUAAAAGAAAAAAAAGAAGGAUACGAGUUGGUCAUGAUGGUAACAAAUGGAAGUACAUGUAUGCAGGAACUUGAGAAUGUGAAAGAGUGUGGUGCAUGAUAAUUGUUCCCUGGUUUGUCCAUAUAAAUGCCUCGGUUAAAAACUCACUAUAAGCUUCUUGUGAAAGAGUGUGGUGCAUGAUACUUGGUUCUAGUCCCAUAUAUAUUGUUCUAACCAUUUCCUUGGUUAAAAACACCACAGUGGAAGCUAAAUUCUAAUAAGCUUGUAUAAAUGAAAAAGAGUAUAGUGCAUGAUUCUCCAGUCAAAUGCCUCAGAGUUAAAAGCCCAUUGAAAGCUCAUCUUGAUAAACUUGGGAAUGUGAAAGAGUGUGGUGCAUGAUAUACUUGUCAAUACAAUGCCUCUUAAAGCCCCAGGGUAAGCUAAUCAUAUGAAGCUUAUGAACAUGAACUAGUGUGGUCCGUGAAACUUGCUUCCGGAUUGUCUAUGCAAAUGCUUCGGUUAAAACUUAAAACAACGCAUGAUAAGCCAAUCGGUUGAUACUGCUACAUAACACUUUGUCUAUACAAAAGUGACGACUCAAUUUUAAAACACACAAUAUAAGUUCAUGAUGAGCUUAUGAAUGGGAAAGUCUAGAUGGGAAGGCAUGAUAUUUUGACCCAUAAUGUUUUUUUUUUUUAAAUUGCCUCAGCUCAUCAAGAAGACAAAUAUCUAAUGAAUGAGAAAAGGAUGCAUGAAACUCUGUUCUAAGUGUCUAUAAAAAAUGCCUCUGUUCGGUUAACGAAUCCACAUUGUCAAGCUUAUUAAUGAAAAAGGGUAAAUUGGUGGUGCAGGAAACUUAGUACCGAACUCUUUAUAAGCUCCUUUCAGGUUUAUGAGUGGUAGGGAAUAUGUCUUAGUUAAAACCCAUUGGAAAGCUAAUCGUAAUAAGCUUGGGAAUGAGAAAGAGUGUGGUACAUAAUAAUACUUGGUUCCAGAUUGUAUAUAAAAGAGCCUCGGUUACAACCCUGUUGUAAGUUUAUAAAUGGGAAAGAGUAUGGUUCACGAGAGACUAGGCCCGGAUUGACUAUAGAAAUGUUAUCGGUUAGAAAAACCCAUUGUAAGCUUAUUAUAUCAAACUUAUGAACAGGAACUGAUGUAGUGCGUGAAACUUGCCUCCGGACUGUCUAUUCAAGUGCAUCGGUUAAAACGCAUUACAAACCAACCGGUUGAUGUUGUUGCAUGACAACACUUUGACUUUGUCCCAAUUUGUCUGCAAAAGGUGGCAAACUUAGUUAUAACAACACAGUACAAGUUUUUCAUGAGCUUAUAUAUGAAUGGGAAAGUGUUGAUGGUGAUGCAUGAUAAUUGGUCCCGAAAAGUUUAUACAAUUGCCUCAGCUCAUCAAGAGCCACCGAAUGGGAAAAAGAUAUAUGGUACUCUGUUCCAAAUGUCUACAAAAAUGCGUCUUUUUGGUUUAAAAAGUCCAUAUUGUCAAGCUUAUUAAUGGAAAGAAACAAGGGUGGAUGGUGGUUUAACCAACUAGGUUUCGAAAAUUCUACAUGCCUCAGGUUCGGCUAAGUAAAAACCUCAUCUUAAGCUCAUUUGAAGUUUACGAGUGGUGUUGCAUAUAGGGACAUGUAUGUCUGUUAUCAAAUGUCUUGGUUCAGAAUACUCAUGGGGAGGUUUUUUAAUGAAUAAAUGGGGGUGCAUGAUUGGAACUAUGUCAUGUGUUCAUUUAUACAAAUGCCUUGACUUGGUAAAAAUUAGUAGUAAGCGAAGUGAAGUUUAAGAAUGAGAAAAGGUUUGAUGGUGUUGCAUAAUAACUACUGGAGAAAGGGGUUGAUUUAUAAGUAACUGGAUGCUUAUGAAGGGGGUUGAAAAAUGGUUACGGUGGCGAGCAUAUAUAAAUAAAGAAUUAUGUUCCUUGAGCACACAAGCUUAUGAGUGAGGAAAGGGAUUCAACCAAUUCAUUUGGGAGAAUUCAAGAUGGUCAUGUAAACCAAGAUGCUGUCAAGGUGGUGACAUGCAGACAUGAUGAUGUCUUUUAGCCUGAGUCAAGGCAUUUGAUAAGAAAAAUUGCAUGCUACUUUCAUAUCUCGUAAAAAGAGAUUGUUGUUCUAACCAAGGUUUUUAUAUGUAUAUUUUGCAGGUCUUAAAAGAGAUUUUUUCUUGGAAGAGCAACAGGAAUUACGAAAAGUUUCUUCCUUAAAAGCGAUUCAGGAAGGUUGAUCAUCAUGGUGAUUAAUUUUUGAAAGGUCGAGAGUGGUGGACUGAAGAAUCUAAUUGGUAAUGCUUUUUUGAGACUUACAUAACAUAAAGUUUAACUUAUUGUGCUGCUAAAUUUAUUAUUGCAGGACUCUCUCCGAUGGGAUAACAUGAGCAAGUAUCACCUUCUGCAGCGUUAGAAUUGUCUGAUCAAGUGAUUUAAUUAUAUAACCAUAGAGAAUUAAAAAAAAAAAAAAAAACCCCAAAAAAUACAAGUUUGGUAUCCGCUCUAGAGAAUCUUGAUGAAACAUCAACAUGUAUUGAUGAUGAUGUUAUCUCGAAGCAACAAGAAGGUUUAUGCAGUCAAAGCAUAAUUGAUUUGAGUAUUCAUCUAUGAUCUGUCUUCAUCUUUAAUUUGAUGGAAUCGUAAAAGGACAUUACAUUAUACAGAUGAGUUGAAUUUGACCACGACAGUAAAACAGAAAAAUUGAAGAUUACAAAGCAAAAUCUUGAUACUUAUAUUUUGGUUUAGUUCCUCGAUAACAUCUUUUAAGGUAUUCAAUAGAUGCCAUGUCCAUCUAUACCACAACCAGGCAGCUAGCUAAUUAGAUUGUCUCUGCAUUAAUGGUGAUCUUCUUUCUUUCUUUAUAUGUUUGCAUUUACAAGUUCCUG